rnacentral:rRNA from 1 species
UACGUAGGGGGCUAGCGUUGUCCGGAAUCAUUGGGCGUAAAGAGCGCGUAGGCGGCCCGGUAAGUCCGCUGUAAAAGUCCAGGGCUCAACCCUGGAAAGCCGGUGGAUACUGUCGGGCUCGAGUCCGGAAGAGGCGAGUGGAAUUCCUGGUGUAGCGGUGAAAUGCGUAGAUAUCAGGAGGAACACCGGUGGCGAAGGCGGACUC